GACGUAGGGCGCGAGCGUUGUCCGGAUUUAUUGGGCGUAAAGAGCUCGUAGGCGGUUUGUCGCGUCUGCUGUGAAAACUCGGGGCUUAACCCCGGGCCUGCAGUGGGUACGGGCAGACUCGAGUCCGGUAGAGGAGUGUGGAAUUCCCGGUGUAGCGGUGAAAUGCGCAGAUAUCGGGAGGAACACCCGUAGCGAAGGCGGACACUCUGGGCCGGAACUGACGCUGAGGAGCGAAAGCGUGGGAGCAAACAGGG
rnacentral:rRNA from 1 species